UACGUAGGGUGCAAGCGUUGUCCGGAAUUAUUGGGCGUAAAGAGCGUGUAGGCGGCCCGAUUAGUCCGCUGUGAAAGUCCAGGGCUCAACCCUGGAAUGCCGGUGGAUACUGUCGGGCUAGAGUCCGGAAGGGGCGAGUGGAAUUCCUGGUGUAGCGGUGGAAUGCGCAGAUAUCAGGAGGAACACCGGUGGCGAAGGCGGGUCUCUGGGCCGAUACUGACACUGAGAAGCGAAAGCGUGGGGAGCGAACAGG
rnacentral:rRNA from 1 species